rnacentral:lncRNA from 1 species
AUGGCACAUGUGCAAAGACAAGAUGGGGCCCAGCCAGGAAGUGGCAGUGAGGCCAGGUGUGAGCAGGAGAAAGGAAGCUCUCAAAGGGAACAGAGAUUCUCCACUCUGCCAUCCCCACGUGUGUCCCACUUGUUUCUGGGAACAAAAGAAUUCUGUGGUCAAGUAAAUCUUGGACAACACUCCCUCCUGCAGACAGGAACUCUAUCAAUCAUAUCCAGGGAGCAGCUGCAAGCAACAGACAACCAAUAUCUCCCAAGUGAGUUUGAAAGGAUCUUAUUACCCAGCAUCCUAAGGGGGCUAUAGCCUUGGGAACCACAGGCAGAAAUAAUUAAUUCAGCUCCUCGGUUAGCGACUCUUCAGUUCAAGAUGGAAUUUAUCUGCAGGCAUGGCUCCUUAACAGUUGCCAAACCCAUGCUCAAGACACACUCCUUCUCCUGGAAAGUUAAUGUGGCUGUUUCAUCCAUGAGGGAGAGUGAGGACCAUGCUCUCCAAACAGGCUAUACCUGGACUACCUCUGUUUCUGUCUCCUGGGAUUCUAAUCAGCAAAUGAGCGACAAAGCAACCCAGACACUGUGUUCAUAAGAUGGCUUGAGAGCUGGGUGAGUGGCUGUUUUUCCCUUACAGUGGAUGUGUAUCAGUGAAGGAACCUGUAGAACAUUCUUGACAGGAACAUUUAGUCAUAUGAAGUCAAGAAAUUAAUGUUUAAACUGGGCGUGGUGGCUCAUGUCUGUAAUCUCAACACUUUGGGAGGCCAAGGUGAGUGGGUCACCUGAGGUCAGGGAGUCAAGACCAGCCUGGCCAACAUGGUGAAACCCCGUCUGUACUAAAAUACAAAAAUUAGCUGGGCAUGGUGGCACAUGCUUGUAGUCCUAGCUACUUGGGAGGCUGAGGCAGGAAAAUCACCUGAACCUGGGAGACAGAGGUUGCAGUGAGCCAAGAUCGCACCACUGCACUCCAGCCUGGGUGACAGAGUGAGAGUCCAUCUCAAAAAAAAAAAGAAGAAAUUAAUGUUUUUGGAUCAUCAGAGACCAUGACCAUAUUGAAAAGCCAAUAUUUUACUUUUGACUUAUUCAUAUAAUCAUAUUUUGACUGGGCACAGUGCUGGGAUUACACGCCUAUAAUCCCAACACUUUGGGAGGCCAAGGUGGGCAGAUCACUUGAGCCAAGAAGUUCAAGACCAGCCUGGGCAACACGGUGAAACUCCAUCUCUAUAAAAAAUAGAAAAAAUUAGCUGAAAGUAGUCAGUGUGAUGUAGUCCCAGCUACCUGGGAAGCUGAGGUGGGAGGAUCACCUCAGCCCAGGAAGUGAAGGCUGCAGUGAGCUGUGAUUGUACCACUGUACUCCAGCCUGGGUGAUAGACUGAGGCCCUGUCUCAAAAACAUAAGGAAAGAAGGAAGGAAGGAAGGAAGGAAGGAAGGAAGGAAGGAAGGAAGGAAGGAAGGAAGGAAGGAAAUCAUACCCUGCUGAGGAGACAAUUCAACACAGUAUUUUUUUAUUGAAAACAUACUGUGAGUCAGUGUGCCAGAUACAAGCUCUGUCUAAAAAGAUUUUGGGAGGAGCAUGUGUAUGGGAGGGAUGUGUGAGUGUGUAUAACAAGGGGGACUCAUAGGGAAGAAGAGGAAGACAAGCCCCAGAGGUAUACUACAUAGGCAAUCUACGCAACAGCCUAGCAAGAGAGCAAGCCAUGGGUACAGUAGAGAGAAUCAGAGGAUGGAGUGGGGACCAUUUCUAGUGGGUGAGAUCAGGAGAGACUUGAAUAAUCUGAGUGAAUUUAGAGAUGGGCCUUGAAAGGUGGACAAGAUUUUUUUUUUAAGACAGUCUCGCUUUGUCACCCAAGCUGGAGUGCAAUGGUGCAAUCAUGGACUCACUGCAGCCUUGACCUCCUGGGCUCAAGCGAUCCUCCCACGUCAGCCUCCUGAGUAGCUGGAAGUAUAGGUAUGUGUCACCACACCCUGCUAAAUUUUUUUUUAGAGAUACGGUCUUGCUAUGUUGCCCAGGCUGGUCACAAACUUCGGCAUUCAAGUGAUCCUCCUGCUUUGGCCUCUCAAAAUGCUGGGAUUACAGGAAUGAGCCACUGCACCCAGCACUGGUGAAAAAGAUUUUAACGGCUAGAUUAGAGGGAAGAGGGUGCCUUAGUAAAGCCAUCCCUAUGAAAAAGCAUGAGUUCUUCUGGGAGAAAGGUCCAGGUUGGCAGAGGGUAGUUUGUAGAUUCACAUGAAUAGCAAAAUGCCUUGGGCUGUUAUGUACCCUGAGUGCUAGGCUGAGGGGCUUCACCUUCUUCUAGGAGGGCAGAAAGAGACAAAACCUGGAGAAGUUUUUCAAUGGAAUUUAAACUAGAAAGUGAUGUGGCCAGAGCUGAAGAGCUGUGUGUGGAUAGACUUGAAGUUGAGAAGCUGUUGAGAAGCUCUCAAAGUCAGCAGAACAAGAUAUAAUAUAAGGGCAAGGAGAAUAAGAGAAGUUAAUGGAAGUAAGGGCACUGCAGAAAAUUGACACUUAAUAACUGAUUGAAAAUGGGCCAAAAGUGUGUUAGAUUGGACACCUUUGCCUGCUAGGACCAGAAAAAUCUCAAACUGGUUUAAAUAAUAAGGGCAUUGAUUGGCUGAUGAAAAUGCAAGCCCAGAAAGGAGGCAGGCUUCAGCAUCAGUCUAAUCCAGGAGCCUGGCUCCAUUUCCCUGCACUUCCCUGCUGCCGUUAUCUGCAU